rnacentral:rRNA from 1 species
AGCGGCGGACGGGUGAGUAACGCGUGGGUAACCUGCCUCAUACAGGGGGAUAACAGUUAGAAAUGACUGCUAAUACCGCAUAAGACCACGGUGCCGCAUGGUACAGUGGUAAAAACUCCGGUGGUAUGAGAUGGACCCGCGUCUGAUUAGGUAGUUGGUGGGGUAACGGCCUACCAAGCCGACGAUCAGUAGCCGACCUGAGAGGGUGACCGGCCACAUUGGGACUGAGACACGGCCCAG